rnacentral:rRNA from 1 species
AGUAACACGUGGGAAAUCUGCCCUGCACUCUGGGACAAGCCUUGGAAACGAGGUCUAAUACCGGAUAUGACCUUCCUCUGCAUGGGGGUUGGGUGGAAAGCUCCGGCGGUGCAGGAUGAUCCCGCGGCCUAUCAGCUUGUUGGUGGGGUAAUGGCCUACCAAGGCGACGACGGGUAGCCGGCCUGAGAGAGCGACCGGCCACACUGGGACUGAGACACGGCCCAG